rnacentral:lncRNA from 1 species
CAUGCAAAUAAAAUAAUUUCAGUCUCUGAUAAAUUUUAUGAAGAAGAUAAGAUGGUUUAAUGUGUUAUAGCAUGAUUGGCAUGUAGAAGAUUGUUUUUUUUAGCAUUAAGAUUAGAGAAGGCCUCUCUGAGUAAAUCACAUUUGAGUUGUGACCUAAAAUGAUGAGGAAAAAACAACACUGGGAUCACACUGGAAGAGCAGUCCAAGCAGAAGGCACAUCUAGUGCAAAGGCUUCAAGGAGGGAAAAGCCACCGUGGCUUGGUGAUGAACAAGGAGCAGAGAGGAAGGAAAUGAGGCCAGAGAGAACCCCAUGACACACUCACAAUUCCAGAAGGUUCAGUUCAAGGGGCACUGCUAGCCUGGGCCAUGAUGUGUGCAGGGAGCCAUCACAUCCCAUGACGACCUAUGCCUGGUGUUGAACCCAAUCAUAAGUCCAAUCACCACUUCCCUUGCUGUUUGAUUACUACACAGUGAGAAACAGUGGAAGUCAUUGCUCUGCCUCAACUCUAAAGAUCUUCAGCCAUAUGGACUCUAUUUCAGUAGCCAGCUGCAUAGUAGGCCACUUCCCAUGGACAAGAGUCCAUGAACUGCUGGAGGAGACCAUAUCUUGGGUGCCCAAGAAGCACAACUAUGGUGGGCAGCCCAGGAAAUAUCUUGGGAAACACAGCUCUACCCUUCUUCAUGAUUGGAUGUCUCUUGUCUCAGAAAUACAUAACCAGAGUUGUGAUUCUUCUAGAACAAAGAAGAUCUGUCCAGGUCAACUCAUUUUCUCCAUGCUAGUUAUAGAGUUGGAUGGCAAAGUUUUCGAUGAUGCCUUUUUUCGUUAAAAGAAGAAAGAGAAGAUGUUUAAUCACCCUGAGUAGUAGACAAACAAUAAAAAUUCCAAAGACAGAAAAAUUAGCAUUUUUGUGAGAUAUAGGGAUGUCUUGGGCAAUAUUAAUGAGUCUACAUAAUAUGGAAGCCCAGUAAGUGGACUGGAUGUGCCAAGUGCUGGUCUAGGUAAUGAGUAUACCCGAAUGGACAAAGCAAAGUUUGUGACCUCAUGUAGUUUAUAUUAUAAUAGGAUAGAGAAACACUGAACAAACAAGUACAUAUAUAAUGUCACAUCCAUCAGUUCCAAGUACAAUAACCUCUUAGCAGGGUAAGGAGAGGAGUGAUAGAGGCUGCUAUGAAGGAUUAUCAGAGGUCUGUCUGAAGAGAAGUCUGAGCAAAAACCUAAAAGGAGUGAAUGACAAACCAUGUGUGUACCUCGAGGAACAGCAUUUGGACCCGUAAGAACUCACUGGGCGUGAUAGCAACUUUGGUUUUAUAUUAAGUAUCAUGGUAAAAUUGGAGAGUUAAUAACAAGUUCUUAUGAUACGGAAAGUUUCCUCAGACAGUUGGGUGCACAAUGGAGUGUAGGAGGGAAGAGUGAAGAAUUUGGAAGCUAUUGCAAUUGUUCAGAAGAAAGACGAUCGUGCUUGAAAGAGGUGCCACGUCAUCAAAUUCCAGAUGUGCUUAGAGGGAGAAGCUGCAGGAUUUACUGACGAGUUGGAUGAGGAUAUGGAAAAGAUAGAAGAAUCAAGAAUGGGCUGAGGAGCUGAGUGAAUGAUGCUUCCAUUUAUCAAAAUGGGAACACUGGAGAAUCAAGUUUGGGAGGGAAAUGAAGAGUUCUUUGCUGUAAAUGUUAAUUCCAAAAGGAGAGAUCAUGUAGCUAUUUGAUUUGGUUAUUCAAAUCAAAGGAGAGAUGCUCCAGAAAUGUACAUUUGGGCAUUAUCAGCAUACAGAUGGUAUGGUGUGGAGUCAUGGGAUUAGGUGAGAUCACCUAGAAAGUGAGUAUAGAUAAAAAAGAAAAGCAGGUCCUAGACUAGACCCUAAGGUCACCCAACAUUUCAAGCUCAGAAAGAAGAAAGGUCCAGCACCUGGGCCUGAGAAAGACGGGCCAGAGUGGUAAGAGGAAAUGCAGGAGAGGUGGAUUCCUUGGAAAUCAAUGGAGUAAAAUGUUUCCAGAAGAGGAAUGAUGCAGCGUCGAAUCUUUCUGAUGGAUCAAGAGACUGACAAUUGACCUAUCCUGUAAAAGGAAAAUCAGUGUGACCUAAAAAUAAGAUUUCAGCAGAGUGAUGGGGAUGAAGACCCGAUUAGAAUGUUUCUAAAAAAGAGGGAAGAGAGGACAUUAGGUUAGAAGUAGAAACCACUCUUUGAGUAUGCUUUGCUGUGUCCAGGACCAGAGAAAUGGGAGGAAGCAUCCUAACUGAAGGGGAUGUGGGGUCAAGCCUGGGUUUAUCUGUUUUUAUCAUGGAGAAUUUAUAGCUUAUUUGCAACAAUUAUUUAACAAAAAUGGAAAAGAAUUGUGACGUGUGCUUUUACAGGCAGUACAUAUUGUAGAAAUCAACUAAUUUACAUAAAAAUUAUCCAUGCCAUUCUGACAAUAAUGUUAGUAUUUUUCCGCC